AUGAUGGGGCAGUGUUUAGGAUCGAAGAUCUUCCUGAGGGAAGGAAUGUUGGUUGGGGAAGAGUAGGAAGGUCGCACUGCCGGGCGGUCAGUGGGGAGUCACUAGGGAAUCAUGAGGAAGGAGGUGAUUGAAAGAGAGACGUCAGGUUGUCAGGAUCCCGACAGAGGACUCAGCCACCACCUCCCCCUAGACUCUUGACAUGAGCUUGCUGGGCAGUGGGCUUUCCUUGUUGGUACUGAGCAUUGAUUUGGACACGGUCUGGCCUAUGUUGAGUGGCCUUGGAUCAAGAGCAUUCAGGAGGGAAGCACUCCAAAAGAAAUGGUGCAGAGUACCAAGAGAGACCAUAGUCUUGGACCAUGAGAAAUGUAAAAACCAGAAUGUGAUGUCUACAUCAGCAAGGAAUGAAUUGAACAGGCCGGCAGCAGUCAUCAGGCAGAAGGGAUUUGGAAAUAAAAUGCAGGUGCAACCUCAGAUUGACCAUAGAUUUUUACUACACUGUAACUGAAUCUCGAUUGCUCCCAAAAUAAGGAAGAUUCACAUAUCAAAUCGUCAAGCGACAGGUUCUUCCAAAAUAGCUCCUUUGACCCCAGAGGUCACGACACAACCUACAGACAGUUACAACAACGGCAAUUUCAGACGAAGUCAGAGGUCAAGAGAAUAAUUGGAUUAUGCCCCUAUGCCUCUUGGUCUUACCAACUUCUCCCUCACCCUUGACCAAUCUAACCUGGGACUUGGCAUGGUUCCAGCUGUUAUCAUCACCAGGGGUCCAGAUGAAAUAGCCCCACCAACAGUAUCAGAGAGGCAUGCAAGUGGACAUCAGGAAUAGUCCCUGGAAGCCCAGCCACUGGUACGGUGGAAAGAACACUGUUCUGGGAAUCAGGGGACCUGGAUUCCAGUCCCAGACCAUCCUGAACCUGGCUAAGGUGAGAAAAGAUAGCACAUCCACUUAGCAGUAUACUGCACCCCUGCCUUCCUCCUCGCUUGCUGCACUCUGGCACAAAUGGGAAUAUGACUGUCAUGGAUGAGCGUGAGAGGUUUGCACAAGUCUCUUGCACAAUAAUCCAUUUCUCUUUCAGUCCUGUAGUCUCUGGACUACAUCAUUCCCAAUGACAGACCACUCCAUCAUCCCCAUAUCUCAAGGCCUAAGAACAAGGGUUUCAGGAUGAACUUUCCAUCGAUUCUUAAGGAGACCUUUCCUCCUAGAAGCCUCUAGCUCCAGGGUCCCUCCAACUUGGGCAGAACAUGUCCACUUCAAAGGCCUUUUUACAUUUACAUAACAUCAUGUCCAACCUACGGUCCAGCAGGUCAAGUCAACUGGACAGAGGCAGGUAAAAUGGACAUAAGUUGAGGAGUUCACUGUCAGGAUCCUGACCAGCUGAUGUUGCUCACUCAACCACCUCCUUCCUCAAGGUUCCCUAGUGACUUCCCACUGAAUGUCCAACAGGGUGACCUUCCUGCUCUCCCCCAACCAGCACUCUUUCCUCCAGGAAGAUGUUUAAUCCUGAAGGCUGCCCCAUCAUGGGACUUCCCGAUUCUGUCUCCCCCGAUUAGACUGUAAGCCCGUCAAACGGCAGGGACUGUCUCUAUCUGUUGCCGACUUGUUCAUCCCAAGCGCUUAGUACAGUGCUCUGCACAUAGUAAGCGCUCAAUAAAUACUAUUGAAUGAAUGAAUGAAUGAAUGAACUUCCACCCCAUGUGAACUAGACACUGCUUGGUUCAUAGCAUGUCCACCUAUAGAAGAGAGAGAGAAAGAGAGAGACCUGUAGGGUAAACUUGUCAUGUGAGAGACCUAUGGUUCCUGGUGGCAAGGAAGUGGCUGAGUGAGGAGAUGUUUCUCAAGAGAGGGGGAUGUUCAAAAUUCUUCCUUGGGAAGCAAGAGACUGAUUGGCUGUGGCUGAGAUCUACAGGAAAGAAGAUUAUCCCUCCCAUGGGUCUGAGCACACUUUCUAGGCAGAACCUAAAUUACUAAUCAGCUUGCUGUUUUUUAAUUGGCCCAGAGAUGGCAAGGAAGAGGUCUGUAAUGCUGGAUCAGCAGCCCCAUCCACCACCAUGUCAACGUAUAUAAAGGACAUGGGGCACCAGGAGGCAUUCAAACUCGGGAAUCUCCUCCUCUUCCUUUGGGACAACACCAG
rnacentral:lncRNA from 1 species